GUGAGGAGAUGGUGAAGAUGGUCCUGAGUUGUCCCUGUCACCCCAAGGACCAGUUCACCACCAGCAUCCUGAGACACUGGACAUCCAAUCAUGACAACAUGCUGGGAGAACACAUCAAGGCCCAGCUGAUCAAGAACAACAACCAGCCCCGCAAGACACACAGAUUUUCCAACCUGAAAAUCUGACCCACAUGAGUGACCGCGCUGCAGGUCAGCGGCACCGGACCUUCUGCUUCAACUGUUAAAGGAAGGAAAUUUUCAACAUCUGCUAUUGAAGCAUCAGCUUGUGAAACUCGGAAAUAAACUCCGGCCGCUGCUGCCAGUGACGCUUGAACUCAUGGGGAGAGAGUGGCGUUAUAUCACCCAGUAGUAAGUAGAGUAACGUUAGCUACUACUUUUUUAAGCUAUGCUAACUAGUAGGUAAUAACUAUAUUUUUUCUGAGUAGCAGCACUGAUUUUACUUUGACUUUACUCUCAUAUAGGCUACACUUUGCUAUAUGGAUGGUUGCUUUUUAAGUCGUCCUUAUGUUAGCUUUUGGCACGUUAUAAAUUAAUUUCUUGAAUGGUUGUGACAGGGUUUAUGUAAGGCC